UACGGAGGGUGCAAGCGUUAUCCGGAUUCACUGGGUUUAAAGGGUGCGUAGGUGGGUAGGUAAGUCAGCGGUGAAAUCCCCGAGCUUAACUUGGGAACUGCCAUUGAUACUAUCUGUCUUGAAUACCUUGGAGGUGAGCGGAAUAUGUCAUGUAGCGGUGAAAUGCUUAGAUAUGACAUAGAACACCAAUUGCGAAGGCAGCUCACUACACGGUCAUUGACACUGAGGCACGAAAGCGUGGGAUCAAACAGG
rnacentral:rRNA from 1 species